rnacentral:rRNA from 1 species
UACGGAGGGUGCGAGCGUUGUCCGGAAUCACUGGGCGUAAAGGGUGCGUAGGUGGCCAUGAAAGUUCGAUGUGAAAUCUCCGGGCUUAACCCGGAAAAGGCAUUGGAAACUCUGUGGCUGGAGGUUUGGAGGGGGGACUGGAAUUCUCGGUGUAGCAGUGAAAUGCGUAGAUAUCGAGAGGAACACCAGUGGCGAAGGCGGGUCCCUGGACAACACCUGACACUGAGGCACGAAAGCUAGGGGAGCAAACAGG